rnacentral:tRNA from 1 species
ACUAAUUUGGCAGAAAAAUUGUGUCAAAUUUAGAAUUUGAAUAUGGAAAUUCCAAUUAGUG